UCCUCGAUGGUCUAGUGGUCAUGAGUAAGUCAAUCACAUCUGAGCAACUAGCAAUUGCAACAUCAGCUAACAUUCAAACAGUUUCCGCUUGUCAUCACCAGAUAACGAGCGCGGGAGACCAGGGUUCGAUUCCCUGUCGGGGAG